UACGGGGGGGGCAAGCGUUGUUCGGAAUUACUGGGCGUAAAGGGCUCGUAGGCGGCCAACUAAGUCAGACGUAAAAUCCCUCAGCUUAACUGGGGAACUGCGUCUGAUACUGGAUGGCUUGAGUUUGGGAGAGGGAUGCGGAAUUCCAGGUGUAGCGGUGAAAUGCGUAGAUAUCGGGAGGAACACCUGUGGCGAAGGCGGCCACCUGGUUGGAUACUGACGCUGAGACGCGAAAGCGUGGGGAGCAAACAGG
rnacentral:rRNA from 1 species